rnacentral:rRNA from 1 species
CCUACGGGUUGCAGCAGUGGGGAAUAUUGCACAAUGGGCGCAAGCCUGAUGCAGCCAUGCCGCGUGAGGGAUGACGGCCUUCGGGUUGUAAACCCCUUUCAGCACGGAAGAAGCGAAAGUGACGGUACGUGCAGAAGAAGCGCCGGCUAACUACGUGCCAGCAGCCGCGGUAAUACGUAGGGCGCAAGCGUUGUCCGGAAUUAUUGGGCGUAAAGAGCUCGUAGGCGGUUUGUCGCGUCUGCUGUGAAAGCCCGGGGCUUAACCCCGGGUGUGCAGUGGGUACGGGCAGACUUGAGUGCAGUAGGGGAGACUGGAAUUCCUGGUGUAGCGGUGAAAUGCGCAGAUACCAGGAGGAACACCGAUGGCGAAGGCAGGUCUCUGGGCUGUUACUGACGCUGAGGAGCGAAAGCAUGGGGAGCGAACAGGAUUAGAUACCCUCGUAGUC